rnacentral:rRNA from 1 species
CAGUCGCCGCGGUAAUACGGAGGGGGCUAGCGUUGUUCGGAAUUACUGGGCGUAAAGCGCACGUAGGCGGAUCAGUCAGUCAGGGGUGAAAUCCCGGGGCUCAACCCCGGAACUGCCUUUGAUACUGCUGGUCUUGAGGUCGAGAGAGGUGAGUGGAACUCCGAGUGUAGAGGUGAAAUUCGUAGAUAUUCGCAAGCACACCAGUGGCGAAGGCGGCUUACUGGCUCGAAACUGACGCUGAGGCGCGAAAGCGUGGGGAGCAAACAGGAUUAGAUACCGCGUAGUCCCUGUCUCUUAUACA